AACAGCAACCAUGUCAAGUGCGACGCCUUUAGGUGCAAGAAGUUCGUGUUGCCGUCACCGCCACCUCCUCCGCCUUCACCACCGCCACCAACCCCAUCUCCUCCGCCACCUUCACCUUCACCACCGCCGCCGUCGCCUCCUCCACCAACCCCGUCUCCUCCGCCACCUUCACCACCGCCGCCGUCGCCUCCUCCACCAACCGCGUCUCCUCCACCACCUUCACCUCCACCCCCGUCCCCAUCACCCCCACCUCCGUACUACGAGGUCUCACCUGAGGAACGGUACCUUUCGCCGCCACCUCCAGCGUACCAAGAGCCGACAACGCCUCCCCGUUACGACGUGCCAGCUCCCUACUACGAGGUGUCACCGGAGGACCGGUACCACUCACCGCCACCCCAAGCUUACCAAGAGUCUCCACCUCCGCCCUACUACGAGGUGUCACCGGAGGACCGGUACCUGUCGCCG
rnacentral:lncRNA from 1 species